GAUCCUGGCUCAGGAUGAACGCUGGCGGCGUGCUUAACACAUGCAAGUCGAGCGAAGCAAUUUAAGUGAAGUUUUCGGUAUGGAUCUUAGAUUGACUGAGCGGCGGACGGGUGAGUAACGCGUGGAUAACCUGCCUCACACAGGGGGAGUAACAGUUAGAAAUGACUGCUAAUACCGCAUAAGCGCACAGUACCGCAUGGUAUAGUGUGAAAAACUCCGGUGGU
rnacentral:rRNA from 1 species